UACGUAGGGGGCAAGCGUUGUCCGGAUUUAUUGGGCGUAAAGAGCGUGUAGGCGGCCAGGUAGGUCAGCUGUGAAAACUCGAGGCUCAACCUCGAGACGCCGGUUGAAACCAUCUGGCUAGAGUCCGGAAGAGGAGAGUGGAAUUCCUGGUGUAGCGGUGAAAUGCGCAGAUAUCAGGAAGAACACCCGUGGCUAAGGCGGCUCUCUAGUACGGUACUGACGCUGAGGAGCGAAAGCGUGGGGAGCGAACAGG
rnacentral:rRNA from 1 species